UUUGAUGUUUACUUGUAUCUUGGACCACAUUAUCUCACCUUGCACAACUUGUCAACCCUUAACCAAACUUUCAAUUCUUCCAGUUUCCUUCAAUAUUUGGCUAUGAACUAAUCUUAGCCUCUAAACAAACCUUCCCAUUUUUAUGCCUCCUCCUUUACUUGGAGUCACUGAGAACUACAGAUUGGCAAGUUUUUACUGGGACUCUAAAAUUGCCUUCCCUGAUCUUUGCCUCCAAGAUCUGAAGAGUCACUGCAAGCUCAAGCCUAAGGACUUUUUAUAAGAUUAGAAAGAUUCAUCAUCCCAGCUGACCAUUCAUAGUCCACAUCUUUCCCUGCAUAAGCUGCUGUUUGGACUACCAAGCAAGUGUGGUGACAUUCCCAGGUCAUUCAUCCUUACUGGAGAACAACCAAUGCUGUGGACACCACCAGCAAUACAACUGACCACUCAUCUUCAAAAGCUUAAUGAGCGUAUUCUUGGAAGUUGUAACAAGAUACAGUUGGUACUGAUCAUCACCAUGGCUUCCGGUCUUAGACCAGAACCUGUUGUGCCUCACUGCUCACUGCUUGUCAAGUCUACAAGGAGGUGCAUGCGUCCAGACCAUGCCUUCCACUGAGGAGGACCACGAUAUCCCUGGGCAGUCAUGCCUCAGGGGCGCACUGAAGCCAUCUACUACUUUUACCCAGGAUAUUUGGUCUAUUGGAAGAAACAUCAGAGGAAAUCUGCUGGCUUUGAUCUCAAUGGAAGGAACUUCAUCAGGUGCUCUCUCAUCAGAUGAUCCCAAUGAUGACAAAACGACUGAAAGAUCAGGAAGAUCUUGCAUACAAGUGUCUAUGGAGAUGACUAACAAUCUCUGAGCAGCGAAGAUCUGGAUCAUUAGCUUUCUCUAAAUUGGUCAGCUUCUUGCCAGAGUGCUGUUUAAUCAAGACUUUCUUCCACCAGCCUGUUGGAAUCCACUAAACCUGUGACUCCCAAGAUGUCUGGACUUCAAGAUUCUAAAACAACUGACCUUCGCUAUACCCUCUCAACAGAUGGUUCAGCUUAUUUUACAGGAACUGCACCAACAAAAGUCCUAGACAGAUCCUGCUAGGUUGAUUCUGGCCUUUUAGUUGUUUAGUUUGGUUUAUUAUAUCCAUUCUUGUUGAACAAAAGGAGGGGUUGACAAUUUCGGACUUUAUCUGAGCUCUGUAUUCCUGGAAAACACUGAUGGUUAAUAAAUCCCCUAUCU